rnacentral:rRNA from 1 species
GAUGAACGCUAGCGGCGGGCCUAAUACAUGCAAGUCGAACGAUAUCUUCCAGCUUGCUGGAAGAGAAAGUGGCGCACGGGUGCGUAACGCGUAUGCAACCUACCUUUAUCAGGGGGAUAGCCCGGAGAAAUCCGGAUUAAUACCGCAUAACAUCAUUGGAUAGCAUUAUUUUAUGAUCAAACAUUUAUGGGAUAAAGAUGGGCAUGCGUGUCAUUAGCUAGUUGGCGGGGUAACGGCCCACCAAGGCGACGAUGACUAGGGGAUCUGAGAGGAUGGCCCCCCACACUGGUACUGAGACACGGACCAGACUCCUACGGGAGGCAGCAGUAAGGAAUAUUGGUCAAUGGAGGGAACUCUGAACCAGCCAUGCCGCGUGCAGGAAGACUGCCCUAUGGGUUGUAAACUGCUUUUAUCCGGGAAUAAACCUGAGUACGUGUACUUAGCUGAAUGUACCGGAAGAAUAAGGAUCGGCUAACUCCGUGCCAGCAGCCGCCGUAAUAC